GACGAACGCUGGCGGUGUGCUUAACACAUGCAAGUCGAACGGUAAGGCCCUUUCGGGGGUACACGAGUGGCGAACGGGUGAGUAACACGUGAGUAACCUGCCCUCAUCUCUGGGAUAACAGUCGGAAACGGUUGCUAAUACUGGAUAUGAGCUUGCAAGGCAUCUUGUGGGUUGGAAAGAUUUUUUUUGGUUGGGGAUGGACUCGCGGCCUAUCAGCUUGUUGGUGAGGUAGUGGCUCACCAAGGCUUCGACGGGUAGCCGGCCUGAGAGGGCGACCGGCCACAUUGGGACUGAGAUACGGCCCAAACUCCUACGGGAGGCAGCAGUGGGGAAUAUUGGACAAUGGACGGAAGUCUGAUGCAGCAACGCCGCGUGCGGGAUGACGGCCUUCGGGUUGUAAACCGCUUUCAAUUGUGACGAAGCUUUUUUGUGACGGUAGCAGUAGAAGAAGCACCGGCUAACUACGUG
rnacentral:rRNA from 1 species